rnacentral:lncRNA from 1 species
AAGGAAACCAACGAAGUAGAGUUAAGGCUUAACCUUGAUCUCUUUGACGAAAGGAGGGAGCAAGCUAAGGUGCGCCUACAAGCUUCAAAUCGCCAAGUACUAUAAUCAGAGGGUUAAGCACAGGUUAUUUUUGACUGGCAAAUUGGUCUUAAGGAAAGUCACUUUGUUUACUAAGGAGAUUAACACUAGGAAGCUUGGCCCUAAGUGGGAAGGUCCCUACAAAGUGGUCAAGGUGUCCAAACCAGGAACUUAUUGGCUAGAGGAUAUGAAAGGGAAAACAUUGCCUCAUCCUUGGAAUGUUGAACACUUGAAAAAGUAUUACCAGUAGUCCAUUUGGUCAACAUGAGAAAAAGGUCGCCCAAGCAACGUAAUGUCGCAAAGAUCAUGUUAUUGUAAAGAACUACUGAUUAUGAUCGUCAAAAUCCUAUGUAACUAUGGUUGCCUUAAUAAAAUCACAAUUUUAUAGUUCAAUAUCGUUAUAUCGCUAGUCACCAAUAUUUGCCUAAGUGAAUUAUGUCACUAAUUUCAAAUUUUAAUCGCCAUGAUGUCACCAGUUUCGCCAUAUAAACCGAUUAAAACAAACUUAUUGUUAUCGCUAAUGUCAAGAUUGCCUAAUUGCUUCUUCUUGUGCAAUUUGCAAAUGAUUCGCCAAGGCAUCUUGAUCACCAAAACGAGUCGCCUGAUUAUUCAAGUUGCAAUGGUAAGGUCUGAUGUUUGCCUGAGUUAAGUUAACUUAAACCUGUUCACCAUAAUUAAGUUUGUUAUUACGUUUACCUGAUUAAGGUGAAUUAAACUUAAUAUGUUCACAUGAUGAUUCUACUCACCAAUUUAUUAAGUGGUACUCGCCUAAGUAUAUCUCGCCAAUAUCAUAGAUCACGAUGUCGCCAAUAGAAGUAGAUAUUAGAGAAGAAACACAUAAGUAUAAAGAAAUAGUUAAUUUUAUUGAUAUCGCCAUUACAUUACAAAAAAAAGAGGAAGUACAACGAAAUGACUAUUAAGGUGGAGAGUUGUUAUUAAUCUCACCCUUCUCUUCUUCGUCCUCUUCAUCCUCCUCUUCCUCUAGAUCAGCGUCAAUCCCUAUGUCUUAGAUAUCGAGGUCUGGAUGGAGGCAUCCAAUCUGCUUCUUGGAUAAGUCAAAACCCUCGCCAAAGUAUCUGAAAGCUGCUAGCUCAACAACUUCGUGGAAGUCAUCCGAGGACUUGUAUUCCUCGAUGACUGACUCCUUGGCGACGACUGACUACUUCUUUAGCUCAGCUAUCUCCUUUUCGAGCCUAGCCAUGGUGGCAUCGUUAUCCUCCUUCAUUCUCUUCAACUCUUCAACUUUCCAAUGGCAUGCCGCUUCUAGGCCCUGAGAUCGACCACUUGUUUCUCCAACUUUGCGGCCACUUGCUGAGCACGGGUCAUCUCGAUUUUGACCAAGGCAGCACGGGCCUGUUGGGUCAUCGCUUCUUCUCUCAUUUGCCUACCACGUCUGAUGAGGGAAGACUCGAGCACCACCGCCUAAAAAAGAAAGAGUGAAUUCUUCAGAGAAAUGAAAAUGCAAAAGUAUUAAACUUAAAUAUAAAAAUAAAUAAUUACCUGACCGACAACAUGGAAGAACUGUGAGAUUGCUCGAUUGAGGUCCAAUCUCCCCACCUCAUCCUUGUCGGCAAGCGAGAUUACCCCCUUAAAGAGUUUCUCCUCCACGACGGGAGGGAUUCCCCAGCAUGGAGACCUUGAUCCCCAAAACAACGCCAGGGUGGCCAUGGUUCCCUCCCCAGGAGCUACAAUAGGUAAAGCCCCCUUGCUCGUCGCCUUGCUUGAUGAUGCCCUAGGCUUGGCUAAGGCCUUGGUAGAGGACCCCUUUUUUUGUCCUCUAUUAGCGGCAUAACCCCCUUCUUUUUAGAGUUAGCUGAUGAUUUGCCCUUCUUCAAGGGCAAGAUGUUGGGCUUCUCGUCCUUUGGGCGUUUCUCGCCAAUGACGAUCUCCUUUGAUGCUGGGGUCGUGCUCUUCGGCUUUGCUCCUUACGCCCUUUGGGCAAGCUUCUUGAGGCUGAUUCUUUUUGAUAUAGCUGCAAAAGAAAACUAAUGUCAGUUAAUGGAAAAGGUAAAAUACUUGAAGAAGAAAGAAGGCAGUACCAUCUGAUUUGAGCUCGGGGGCAACCAUGGUUCUAACCAGGCCUCCGACUAGAGCUCGAGCUUGAGCUUGAGCUACUUGGUUCCCAACUAAGGAAAGAGGGUCGAAGAUUUGCCCCAAGAAGUGUUAGCAGUAUCCUAUCAGGAAGACACGAUAAAACUCUUAUAUGCCUCUUCCUGAUGAUCCCUAGGUAUUCUACUGAGUCAUCUCGGGAAUUGUCACCUUGGCGAGGAUUGUCUCGGGAAUGAUGGGACUCACCCUCAUCGCCCGUAACUAGAGCUGCAUUGCCUACCUUUAUAUCCUCGGCACUGUCCAUGCCACUGGACGCCAUUGAUUUGGAGGCGAGUCCGAAGCUCCUAAGGAAGGACUUAGUGUCGAGAACUUC